rnacentral:snRNA from 1 species
AGCUUUGCACAGUGGCAGUAUUGUAGCUGAUGAGGUUUAUCCAAGGCGCAAUUAUUGCUAAUUGAAAAAUUGA